UCUGCAAUCCGAGUAAAAAGGUGGCUGGUUAAUCGGAUGGACUGGCGCUGCACACUACCGUGGUACGCAAGAACGGUCCCUCAUGGUCCCAGAUAGCCUACAGUCAUGGAACAAGAGACAUUCGGGGAAAACUAAGGACCGGCAAAGCGUGGGGCACUGAUUCUUGCAGUUCUUCACUUUAACCAACGACGUCUAAAGAGUCUGGCCUACCACCACUUCAACCGGAAGCAGCCAGGUGUCAUGGGGUUUUUCCGCGACUCUUAAAACGGAUGGAGGAACACAAUUGCUUCCUUGCAUGCUGAUGGCCCAACGGCGUUGAUGAUGGAUGACGAUGUCUUCGGUUCGCCGCCUUCUGAUGCCGAGCCGACUACAGUCUAAACAGCUGAACAGCUUUGAUGGUGAUGGCUGACGAUGUGUUUGGUUCGCCGCCAGACGAUGCCGAGCCGACUACAGUUCAAACUGGCGUGGCCGAGGUCCAGCCCCAGCAGCUCCGCAUCGCGGUGACCUUCUCGCUGGCAGGGUUGGCUGGCGACGCGGUCCCGGUGGAGCAGGCCUCGCCCAGGGAGGCGGGCAGAAAGACGCGCCGCGGGUUCAGGUGUGGGGAGUGCGGCGAGUGCUUCGGUGCAGAGGCGGACUUGGAUCAGCAUCCGGCAAGUCACUCCAAGACGGCACCGCACUCGUGCGAGGUGUGCGGCAAGAAGUUCCGUGACGCUUCGAGUUUCGGGAAGCAUAAGAGAAUCCACCGCGAGGCGAAGCUCUAUGAUUCGCUAAAGAAGUACUCUAAAUUUGAACCUGUUUCAGUGUACGAAAGUAUGCGUUAAGAGUUGUAACAUGUGAGGUAACUUCAAGUGCUCAAGUGAACCCAUUCCGGGGAGAAGCUCUUCCAGUGCGACGACUCUGGAUGGAAACUCUCUGGUGUGACACUAGGAAAGCGCAAGAGGAUCGACACCGAGGAGAAGCCCUACUUAAGUGACGAGUGCAGCUAGAAAUAAAUUCUCUGAUACAAGUUAUCUCAACGUGCUCGAGAGGAACCCCACGCGAUGACUGCUUGCUUGUGAAUGUAUUGUGUGGUUCCCGAAAGUUACACUCUGAGUGGUUGCUGUCGAACAUAAGUGCGACUUAAAGAUAAUCAUUUGAGGCGUGCCUUGUUGUUAUCGGUUCCUUGUUUAAUUUUCUUUGUCCUUCACUUUGAAGUUUACUGCGAUUUACUACUGAAACCUUUGUUGCUACUUUGUGUAAUUAUUGUCUUCUUCUGAGAUGCUCAUUUGUGAUUGUGAAUAAUGUCGCUCCACUCCAUUUGUUCGCUUUUGUUAAUUUUGGUGUUUUGUUAUUGUAUUUGUACCUUCUUAUUUUUUGCCCCUUAAUUAAUGCAAUUCUAAGCACAUCCCAUCGGUGACACAAUUGUGUGUCCACCUGGUGAUGAUUCAAAGUGCAAAAUCGCACUCUCUGGGUAUUGUUCACAUUUGUUAAUUUUGUCGUUUUGUCAUUGUAUUUGUACCUUCAUAUUUGUCUGCCCCCUGAGUAAUGCAAUUCUAAGCACAUCCGUGAGUGACAAUUUUCUACCUGGUGAUUCAAAGUGUCCAAUGCCUAUUGCGAUUUGGUAGUUAAUUGAACAAGUUUGUUCACAGCAACAGAUGUGCAUAAAAUUGGAACAUUCAUGGGACAAAAGAAGAGGGCUCCAUGACAUACAGUGUGUUGUUAUCACUUUACCAAUUUUCCCUUAAGGUCUUUUUUCAAUUUGAUGUUAAUUCUCAUGUUUCUGUCCCUCUUUCAGAUCUUAAUCUAUGAAUCUGUAUCGCGCUACCCCUCAAUGAUUCUCGCUUGUUGUUUCUGGUUUUUUCGCCGCGGUGUGCGGUGAGGUUGUUGUAGUGGGCCUCGUCAUCACGAGGUUGUUGGGAGCGGUGUUGUCAGCAGUGGUGGUGCAUGCGCAGUGCGAUGUGACGUAGACGUUGCUCUUUUGUCUUGAUCCUGCCUGAGUGUUUUGUUUUUCGCAGAACUUAAUCGUUUCAGUGCGACACACAUUUUAAAGCCCUUUGUCGCGGCGUCCUUUUUAAAAGACGUUUCCUUUCUUUCGCUCUUUUCUCGUUAAACCUACUUUCAACGAAAAUCGAGCAGAAUCUGUUCUCACGGCACUCACAUUUUUGUCGGGAAGUCCUGUUUGCUUGGUAAUGUGACCUGACCUGAUAAAAAACCAACGAGAACAUUCCCAAGCUUACAGUCCCUCUCUCCAAAUUUGUGGAGAACCGCUUGGGCCGGUGUUGUGUGCACUCUC